rnacentral:rRNA from 1 species
UACGUAGGGUCCGAGCGUUGUCCGGAAUUACUGGGCGUAAAGAGCUCGUAGGUGGUUUGUCGCGUUGUUCGUGAAAACUCACAGCUUAACUGUGGGCGUGCGGGCGAUACGGGCAGACUGGAGUACUGCAGGGGAGACUGGAAUUCCUGGUGUAGCGGUGGAAUGCGCAGAUAUCAGGAGGAACACCGGUGGCGAAGGCGGGACUCUGGGCCGAUACUGACGCUGAGGAGCGAAAGCGUGGGGAGCGAACAGG